ensembl:lincRNA
CCUGCCUACCUACAAACCAGCCCUUCUCCUCCUGCCCUUCGCAGCCUUCCCUCCUGCAGAGCGAGGAGCCAGGCCCCGGGGGGACCAUGCAGAAGGCCGGGGCACGGGGCCGCAGGGCCUCUGACUGCGGGCCGGCCCCUCUCCAGCCCAGGAGCAUCACCAAGUUCGCCCAGGUGGGUGUGGCUCCCUGUCCAGGUGGCCCUUGGGUGGCAGGCCCUGGGAGUGGGGAGGAGCUGGCAGUCAAGGACCUGUUUGCUAGUCUUCCGUCCCUGGCCGGCGCCUUGGAGUGUGUGUGCACACAGGAGGGGAGGGCACCUCAGAGGGCCGAGUGGCUCGGCCAGGGUCACCUAUUGUGACAGCAGCAGAGCGUGGACCUGUGCUGCGCUGCUGGCCAAGGCGGGCAGGGCAGAGGGCAUCUGGGGGCCUGACUCCCUGUCCUGCCCCUCCCACCCCGCUGCCGAGCAGUACGUGGGCUCCUUCCCCGUGGACGACCUGGACACACAGGACAGCGUGUGGCUGGUGCAGCAACAGCUGUGGGCACUGAAGGACUGUCCCCGACGCCGGGCUGUCAUCCUGAAGUUCAGCCUUCAGGGACUCAAGAUCUACAGUGGGGAGGGUGAGGUGCUCCUGAUGGCGCACGCCCUGAGGCGCGUGCUCUACUCCACCUGGUGCCCCGCCGACUGCCAGUUUGCCUUCAUCGCCCGCAACCCACGGAGCCCGGCCAGCAAGCUCUUCUGCCACCUGUUUGUGGGCAGCCAGCCUGGAGAGGUGUCUGGGGCCCGCGGGGGCCACAACUGAGGCUGGGUAGGGGUGUGCUGGGCAUCAGGACAGGUUCCAGGGACAGAGGCCUUUGAGGUCUAAGCCAGGGUGGCCUGAGCCCCCUCCAUGUAUGUGCCCUUGGCCACCCUGGCUCCUUCUGCUGCUCUGCCCGCUGAGGACACUACAAAGCAAGUCCGUGGCCUCAGCGUUCCCUGGUCCCGGCGGGAACCUGGCCGUGCUCUUAGGGAUCGCAGGGUCUCGCUGCCAGGCCUCUGCUCAUGCUGUUCCCUCUGUCUGCAGUGCCCCUCCCCCUGUCUCGGCUGAUUCUGACUUGCCCUUCAAGGCUCAGCCCAAGUGUGUGUGAACCCCACCUUGACUCCUGGACUGCCCCUCUCUCUGGGGUCCUGUGACACGACAGCACCGUACCACCAGUCUGUCCCUAAUUGCAGGCACUUGGGCUCUGUGAGAGCAGCGCCUGGGGCCGGGUCCUGAGAUGCACCAGUGCUUGGCCCUGUGUGGUCGGGUGGUCGCCAGGGGCAGGCAGGUAGAUCGGGGAGUCCAAACCAGCUUGACCGUCAUGAACGACAGGGCUGUGGCAGCCAGUCGUCUGGCAAGCAGAGGCAGGGUUUGGUUUCACCCAGUAAGCAUUUGCUGUCAUCCUGUAUGUUGAGCCCUGUGCUGGACACUGGGGUGACAGGUGGCUGAGACAUGGCCACCUUGAUCUUCUGAAACUCAAGGUUCUAACAUGUUGGAUCUGGAUGGUGUGUGUGGCAGGCAGAACGUGCUGGCCCCAGAGAAGGACCGGGCCCACGCUGGGAGUUCUCUGUGCUCCGCUUCCUUAACUCCUCAAAGGAGCACAGGGGAUAAGGAGAACGAGGCUCAGACAGUGCCAUGUGCUCUGCCCAGGGUCACACAGCAGCUGCUGAGUGACAGAGCCAGGAUUGGAGCCCCGGUUCCGACUCCAGGGCCUGUGCUCGCAGCCAUUCCUCCAAGAGGCGCUGACUGACUGCGCAGGGCGGGAGUGGGAAGCCCAGGGCUAGGGGUGCAUUUUCGCGGUUAGAUUCUCUGCUGCAAUCAGGAUGCCUGGCACAAAGUAGGUGCUCAGUAUUUGUUAAGUAAAUUAAGGAAGCUGGUAGGGGAGCCUGCAUGGUGAGCUUUUAAGGGAUAAGUAGUUUGUCCAGGAAGAGUGAGGAAGAGCACUCGGAGCCACGGG